rnacentral:rRNA from 1 species
UCAUCAUGCCCUUAUGACCUGGGCUACACACGUGCUACAAUGGUUGGUACAACGAGUUGCGAGUCGGUGACGGCGAGCUAAUCUCUUAAAGCCAAUCUCAGUUCGGAUUGUAGGCUGCAACUCGCCUACAUGAAGUCGGAAUCGCUAGUAAUCGCGGAUCAGCACGCCGCGGUGGAAUAACGUUCCCGGGCCGUU